rnacentral:misc_RNA from 1 species
CAGCCGUACCCUGCAUAUAGUGCUCCCUUCUCGCUGCUGCCGGUCACACGUGCCUGCGCACAGCUUUGCGUCUCCCUUCUCUGGCUCUACAGACGUCUCUCUAUUAUUUUUGUUGCCCCUCACCCUCACAUGGUUUUGCUUUCCUGCAACCGAACACUACCGCAUCGAACCAGCGCAUACGCAACUGCAGCCCUCCGUGUCUUUCCUUUUGUCCUCCGUCCUGGGACGACCUGUUGCGCUGUCUCUCCCGCGUCGCGCUGUACCCUUGCCGCCCUCUCGGAGAGACGUUCAUCCCCCCACCGUUUUUCUGCUUUUCAUCUUGUAUGUCUGCUGCGUUUGCAGCCAUGAAGUCUUACGGAAAGCGAGGCGGCCGCGCCGCCUGGGCCCACAAGCGCUCGCUGUGCGUGCUGUGGCUUCUAUUCCUGUCCGCCAGCUGGCUUUGCUUCCGCGGAACGCAAAGCACGCACGGCGGUUGCCUGACGGAUAUUCGCGCCACGGCCGACAAGGGCGCCAUCGGCUGUCGUUCCGCCAACGUCUCUGUGGCGGUCACGUCGACCUUCAUGAACACCUUUAUCAAAGCUGCUGUCAUUCCCAUGAUCCAAAAUGAUAGCAACACCCUUAUCGUCCCCCAGCAGGAGGUGAACCACGUCUGGGUGGACAAGAUGGUGCUGCAGCAUUUCAAGCUCGGUUCUCUCACCGUCAGCACAGGCGUGCCAGACGCGCAAAGCAUGAUGAUACGCGGCACGGGACUCGGUCUCAAGGUGAACAAGUCGCGCUUCAUUUUUCAUUACAUGGGCGUGAGGUGCAGUGGGACCUUCUGGGCGUCACUGAAGGAAACCGCUGUGGAUGCGGUGAUGCGUCUCACGCUUCUACCAGAGGAACGGUGGAACGUGACCUUCCCGCGUCUGGCGCUUGACUGGGGUCAGGUGGACGUCCACCACGAGUUGGACAGCGAGACAUGCAGUUUAGCGCAAAAAGUGGUGGAGCUGUUUACUGGUGAGCUCGACGUUUUCGUGGUCUCAAAAGUAAAGCGAAUGUUGGAUGAAGAGAUGCCGCGGAAGGCAGCUGAUCGACUCAACGAUGCCUUUGCGAGGUUUGGCAUCCGCGCCAUCACCCCGCCCGUGAUGACAGCCAACGCGAUGGCUGUGACGCUGGACUUGAACCCGCUCGAUUUCGGCUGCGCGUCGACACCUACCGCGUCAACCGUGCCUGAACUUGUGUCUCGCGACAUUGCCGCACGCACCACCGCGACGAGCGUGAACAACGUUCUCUACAAUGCGGUACAGGCGCAGCGUCUGCAGGUGGAGAAGCACCUAUCAGCGAUGUGGAACACCUCGUUGUUAGCGGAUCUUUUCCCUGAGGUGUACCGUGCGUGCCCGGGAUGCAGAUUGUACACUCUCGCACAGGCAACAAAGGCACCUAUAAUCGAUGUGCCGCGCGACGGUGAAGUCUCAGUGGAUGUCCACGACCUCAUUCUCGGGGUCUAUGUGCAGCCAAACUCCUCCGAGCAUUCCUCGGCCUUAUCUUCUCUCAUUACAGAAAAGCAGCUCAGACCGAGGGCAGGCUUCUCCGCCGCCUACCGGUUCUUUGAAAGGAAAAAGAGGAUCUCUUCCCAGUACCACCGUAAAGCAUUUCCAGUGCUGGCGAUCGGGUGCUCCGCCGCAUCCGGUGUCCGCAACAUCAGUGCCAGCACAGGUCACUCGAUCAGCUACGAGCUACUUCCGGUGCGCGACGUUGCUGUGAAGGUGAUGGCGUCUAACAUUGGUGAUGUCAGCACGAAAGACCUGGAGAAACUCAUCACCAAAGUGUGGAACGACUUCGCCGCACCGCUGGCCAACAGUGCGUCCCCGCUGAAGCUGCCGUUCUUUUUCCAGGAGGCUGUGCUGAAGGUCGGACCCGACAUCAUCGAGGGCGGCGUGAAUGUCAGCCUCAAGGAAGAGUUUUUGCAGGCCGUUUUGUCGACCCUGUAGGCCGAUCACGGAAUGAAGAGUAAUGGACGGCUGGAAAGCGUGGAGGUCGGGGUGGGGGUCCUCCAACUGGUGCAACCGCACGUGUACGUCGCCGCGAACCAAGAAGACGGAAGCGGUUGAUUGAAGACGACGUGCACGACUUCUCCGUCUUUGCGGCUUCGCUGUUUCCUCUUUAUUUUCCUCGGGCUGGCGACGUUUGGUGUUUCUGACGGGUUUAUACCUCUCUCUCUCUCGUUGUCUUAUGCGCGCCACUUGGGCGCAUCUCGUCCUGCCCUCAUCCCUUUCCUCGUAUGCCUUCGCGUCUGUCUCGUUUGCGUGGGCGACUUGAACCGGGAAAAGGUGGCUUACUUUCUUCAUGGGCGCCGAGUGGCAUCGCCGUCACUCCCUCCCAUCUUUCACUGAACCAUUCACUGCUUGUUUGUGUGUGUGCUUUCUUCCGCUCUACAAUCCCUUCCCCACCCCUGUAGUGGUGUAGCCGUCGCCAUUGUUGUAUGUAAAGUGCUUUAUCUGUUCUGUGAGGAACUUUCUCUGCGCUGUAUUCGUGUGCUUCUCCCUCUCUCGUUGUUCAUCUCUGACGUUCUCCCUGCUGUCUUCUCCUCUGCCGUAUUUCUGUUUGUUUUUAUUCAACCUCCAGAAAGCUGUCCGACAGAACAUGAAUGCGCGAGUUGCCGUCAACGAGGACAUGCCCUGGCUGUUGGCUGGAGAAGGAGCGAGGAGAGAGACGGACCAGAGGACCCAUCUUCAAUGCAUCCAUCUUGUCCCUGUCGUGCGUGGCGCUCGACUCCGUCUGCUUUGUUUUCUGCCACGUUUGUGCUCUCCCUCACAGACACACACACACACACUCACUGCUGUUGUUCCGCCCGUCCCAUUGGUGAUGUGUGAGGCGCUUGAUGUCCCUUCAAUCCCUUUUUCUUUUUUUUUUUGCUCGCACGCUCUCUCUCCCUCCAUCCCCGAUGCCAGGGUGAGGCCGACGCCUCUGUGCGUGCUAUCUCUCGUUGUUCAGUACUCCGCUGUCUGUGUGGGAAGAGCCGAGCAGCCCACCCCGCCCACCCCUUCUCUGCCCAAUGCCGAACCACUUCUUGUGGUGUCGGUGGUCAAGUACCGACGGCGUAGGGAAGCCAGAGCGACCGGCGUCAGUGAACACAUCUGUGCUAUCCCUGUGACAGGCACAAUGUCAGCGUGACUCGAGCGCAUCUCUCACCUUUUCCUCGCUGCCCAGUGGUGUGGGGAGCCUGGGCCACCCCGGGGGAGAAGCCUUACCAGGUGUUGACCGGCAUGAUGUGAGAGCGGCUGUGAGGCGACCUGCGCAGAGGGUGGGUGAGCAGAGCUUGAGGCAGGGGCCGCGCUCAGCUAACUGAGUCGGCGCGUUGCUGCAACGCGUGUGUGUCUGCUGCCGCAUUGCACCACGUGAUGUGCCCCCGUGAGACAGGGCGGGAGUGGUGUGGAGUUCACCACAUGCUCUGUGCCAGGAAGUGGACGCGUUGGAGAACGAGGAAACAAGCUCUCUUCGUGUCCUCGUGCGCCUCGCUGCGGCAUCGACUCACCACAGCGGCAGGACAUUCAUCUACACCCGGCUUUUUUUUGUUCACUAAAGGUGAGGGGGAGAGAGAAGGCAGCAACUGCACGCCGUCCGCUAUUCCGGAUCGUCUCAUGCGGACGCCGAUGUAUUGGCGCGAACUCUCGCCGGCAUCAAAGCAUGCGCUUGAUCGCAAGACAUCAUUGUCGGCGAAAACCACGGCGUGCUGAAAAUACUCCAUCCCCAAAGAAGAGACACGAGAGACGACAAGGAGAAAAGGUGGGAAUAUUUGAUUCGAGCAACAACGACAUCAGCGGAUCAUGCUCUUGAGCGCGCGCUUUCCCACCAACGCAGGCAUGCGCGUGGCGAGGCGUGACG